rnacentral:rRNA from 1 species
UACGAAGGGGGCUAGCGUUGUUCGGAUUUACUGGGCGUAAAGCGCACGUAGGCGGAUUGUUAAGUCGGGGGUGAAAUCCUGGAGCUCAACUCCAGAAUUGCCUUCGAUACUGGCUUUCUAGAGGCUGGAAGAGGUUAGUGGAAUUCCCAGUGUAGAGGUGAAAUUCGUAGAUAUUCGCAAGAACACCAGUGGCGAAGGCGGCUCACUGGUCCGGUACUGACGCUGAGGUGCGAAAGCGUGGGGAGCAAACAGG